AUUGAACGCUGGCAGCAGGCUUAACACAUGCAAGUCGAGCGGAGCGAGGGUGCUUGCACCUUAGCUUAGCGGCGGACGGGUGAGUAAUGCUUAGGAAUCUGCCUAUUAGUGGGGGACAACAUUCCGAAAGGAAUGCUAAUACCGCAUACGCCCUACGGGGGAAAGCAGGGGAUCUUCGGACCUUGCGCUCAUAGAUGAGCCUAAGUCGGAUUAGCUAGUUGGUGGGGUAAAGGCCUACCAAGGCGACGAUCUGUAGCGGGUCUGAGAGGAUGAUCCGCCACAAGGGGACUGAGACACGGCCCAGACUCCUACGGGAGGCAGCAGUGGGGAAUAUUGGACAAUGGGCGGAAGCCUGAUCCAGCCAUGCCGCGUGUGUGAAGAAGGCCUUUUGGUUGUAAAGCACUUUAAGCGAGGAGGAGGCUACUAGUAUUAAUACUACUGGAUAGUGGACGUUACUCGCAGAAUAAGCACCGGCUAACUCUGUGCCAGCCGCCGCGGUAAUAC
rnacentral:rRNA from 1 species